rfam:Triticum aestivum genome assembly, contig: Triticum_aestivum_CS42_TGACv1_scaffold_321697_4BL
GAGGUACUUCCUCUGUUCGAAAAUACUUGUCAUCAAAAUGGACAAAAAAGGAUGUAUCUAGAACUAAAAUACAUCUAGAUACAUUCCCUUUUAUUCAUUUUGAUGACAAGUAUUUCCGGACGAAGGGAGUACGAG